ACUUUCUGAUUGCACAGAGCCUGAGGAUCAGCCAGAGGUGAGAGCUUAUGGCUUUUUCAAGUCUUUCCUGAGCAUGCAGACAGCCCUGUGCAUGUCCAUGGCCUUCUAGAUUUUUGGAAUAUGUUGGAGCUUUUCAAAACUUUUGUUCCCCGAAAUAUCUCAUUCCCAGCCUUUCUGAUCAAUCAUUUUGCUUAGUAUAUUGUUUUCCCUGUUUUCCAUUGCCUCAUGUGACAGGGGAAAAAAUAUUUGCCUGUAAAUGUUUUUGAGCAACGGUUUCCAAGUAGUGGCUUUAGUCCUGGGUGACUUCUGACUUAGGUAAGAUAAAACAAAUCUUUUGAGCCAACCUUCCAAGGAACCACCAGGCAGACCAAGGACGAUCUUUGCAAAAGAGGUCUAUUCUGCUUCUUCAGUGCUGGAACUGGCAAUGCAGGCUUCUAUUGUCAAGGCUACUGCUGAGCUGAGGAAAAAAGGAUAGAACUAGUGUAAGUUAAAACACCACAAAGCUCACUAUAAUUAUAAAGAUUCAGCAGUUUUUCUUGAAUAAAUGCUCCGUGGGUUGUUGCAAGCUUUUGUUAGUUUUCAGCAUUCCAAAAAUAUUGAUUCUGACAGGUUUUUUUCCCCAUUUUUUAGUUGAUUUUAAUGAGGGAUAGACUUUUAGAGUUGCUUACCCUGCCUCUUGUGCUGACGUCAUUCCUCUGCACACAUACUUUUAAUCAGAAUGAGUCAGGUACAUAAAGGAGCAAAUGCAUUAUAGGUCAACAGGUUGCUUUCCAAAUUGUCUCUUCAAAUUCUCUUUCUUUAUGAGAAAAUAUUUUGCUGAGACUUGCUUCUUAAGAAAAUGACCUGUGAUUUAUAUCGUGAUUCAAAUUUUAUGUUGCAAAUCUUCAUAUGAGCAAACGCAUCUCUGAAGAGAUCCAGUGAGAGAGUUGCUCAAUCAUCAAGAUGAAACGAGAGCGCCAGGCCAGGAUGAAAAUAAACUAGUGAUGAACAAGAAGAAAGAUAGAUGAUAUUUAUUGAGACUAUCCAGAGCUGAAGAUACAGCAGUCAUCAAAGCAUAGAAAUUCUUCACUCUCAAGGACCUUACAUUCUAGUAAGAGAAGAAGAAAAUAAAUAAACUCUGUUCUCUCUGUUCUGUCAUCUAUAAAGAGCCACAGUAUGCUGAUGAUUUGGUUUAACCUUACUUGACCUCAGUUUCUUCAUGUGACAGGUAGUGAUCAAAUAAAGGCAUAGAGAUAUGUUGGGAAGUUUUGAGUUUUUAAGUGCUAUGUAGGAAAUGAAGGCAGGGUAAAAGUAUAGUAAGUAAUGAAGGAGGCUAUUAUUUAUGACAGAGUGGUCAAAGAUGUCUUUGAGAAGG
rnacentral:lncRNA from 1 species